GACAGAGGUGCCAAGCGUUAGGCGGAAUCACUGGGCUUAAAGCGUGUGUAGGCGGGUGGCUAAGUACCUUGUGAAAUCCCACGGCUCAACCGUGGAACUGCUGGGUAUACUGGGUGCCUUGGGUCAUCUAGGGGCUGCCGGAACAAAUGGUGGAGCGGUGAAAUGCGUAGAUAUCAUUUGGAACGCCAACGGCGAAAGCAGGCAGCUGGGGAUGCACCGACGCUGAGACACGAAAGCCAGGGGAGCGAACGGG
rnacentral:rRNA from 1 species